GUCACAAAGGCCUGGGUACAGCCAGGGAGGUCACAAUGGGCUGGGGCAGAAGCAAGGCUAGUGGUCCAUUCCUGUCUCAGUCCUGUUCUCACUGUCUCCAAAGCCCCUGCAACUACGUGUUCCCUCUGUGUGUGGAGGAAUGUUCAUGGUGCCUGUUCAAUCUCAGAAGGCUGACUCUAGGGAAAACUGCCCUGGGAGAGAUCAAGUGUGACAACAAUGACCACCCAAGUGCGUGUCCCUGUCAGGAUCCGGCUGACUAAAGGUGGAUGGACUCUAGCACGUGUGUACCCCGUGAAGUGGUUCUGUAGUAGCCCCUUGCUCCAGCAUGGUUCCCGUGGCUGGAAGUAGACAGGCUGUACACUGCUGUCUGACCACGAGACUCCUUCAGAGCCUCCAGGGCUUUUGACUUCGGCUGUCAUCCUACCACAGGGCAUGGGGACACAAAGCCACCUCCAGGUAAGCAGGGAGAGGCCCUUGGGUUUGGAUCAGGGUCUGGGGAAGGAAGACAGGUCUGUCCUUCUACAUAGAGACACAGGGACACAGGCACUCUCACUGACCCUCCCUUCCCACCAACCCGGGGCAGAUGCUGUCACCAUCCACUUCACAGGCUCGGAAGGGUUUAUCUGGGGUCAUAGUGCAGAUGAGCAAGAGUGAGUUGCUAUGGGCAUCGUUGAGGGCACAUGCCUUGUCAUUAAAGGAUGUAAGGGGAACGCACUCUAGGGGUGCUGGGCAAAGCCACUCCACACUGCUGCUUCUGCCAGGCCCUGCAAAAGGUGUGUGUGUGUGUGUGUGUGUGUGUGUGUGUGUGUGUGUGAGUUUUGUGUGUGUUUUGUGUGUAUGGUGUGUUGUGUGUAUGUGUGUGUGUCUCUGUGUGUGUUUUGUGUGUGUAUGUGUGUGGUGUGUGUAUAUGUGUCUGUGUGUGUGUGUGA